UACGUAGGGGGCAAGCGUUAUCCGGAUUUACUGGGUGUAAAGGGAGCGCAGACGGCAGUGCAAGUCUGGAGUGAAAGCCCGGGGCCCAACCCCGGAACUGCUCUGGAAACUGUGCUGCUGGAGUACUGGAGGGGCAGGCGGAAUUCCUAGUGUAGCGGUGAAAUGCGUAGAUAUUAGGAGGAACACCAGUGGCGAAGGCGGCCUGCUGGACAGUAACUGACGUUGAGGCUCGAAAGCGUGGGGAGCAAACAGG
rnacentral:rRNA from 1 species